UAAUGUAAAGAUAAAUUUUUUCUUGACAAGUAAAAGUUAAGAUCUUAAAAAUUAAAGAUUUUGGCGGUAUUAUAGUCUGCUCAGAGGAACCUGCCCUAUAAUCGAUAGUCCACGUUUAAUUAAACUUAAUUUUUUAAUUUGUAUAUCGUCGUAGGUUGAAUAUUUUAAAAGAAUAAAAAUAAUCAAAAUUUGGUAUUUUAAAAUAAAUCAGAUCAAGGUGUAGUUAAUAAUUAAGAAGAGGUGGGUUACAAUAAAUUUAUUUAUGGAUUAUUUUUUGAAAAAGAAGAUAAAAAUGGAUUUGGAAGUAAUUUUAAAGAUUUUUUUUUAGUGACUAUGGCUCUAUAAUAUG
rnacentral:rRNA from 1 species